AUUUAUAAAGGAAUUUUUUUUUUUUCAAAGUUAGGAACUUGAGCAGCACAUUGCAAGUCUUAAUGACUCCUGUGUUGAAAGGGAUCUUUUUUUCCCCCACACUGCACCAGAUGAGGUUCCAAUAUGCCAGAACCCUAUAUAGUGUAUGACGUACCAGUCAUUUAUGUGAUCAUUGAGGCUAUAUCAAUCCUGUUAUUGUCCAUCUAGAUCCCCAGAGGAAUGCAAAUUAAAUGCCUGGUUAAAGAAUGUGUUAUACAGAACACGUCACUUGCAUGCAUC